GUGAUGAUACCAGCACUAAUGCACCGGAUCCCAUCAGAACCCCACAGUUAAGUGUGCAUAGGCGAGAGUAGUAAUAGGAUGGGUGACCCUUUUGAAGUCUUC